UUGACUGUUUUGCAAAGACAUUGUUCGUUGUUAGUAAAGCGAGUAGUUUCUGCUCACUGCGUGAGGUAAAGGGCUGCAGUAUUUUGACUGUAUUAAGGUAGCAUAAUCAUUAGUUUUUUAAUUUGAAACUGGUAUGAAGAGGGCACAUAAAAAUAAUAUAUUGUGUUAAGUUAGUUGAAUUUGAUUGUUUUGUGAAAAAUCAAAGAUUUGUUUAGAGGACAAGAAGACCCUAUGAAAGUUUAAUCUUUAAAGUCAUUGUGUAUAGAGGUAGAUUAGUGUGAUUUGGCUUUAUUUAUUUGGCUGGGGCGGUAAAUAAUGAACCACAUUAUUUUGUAUUUAAUAGAUAUUUGAGCGUAUAAUAGACCUUAGUUGAUAAGGUAAUAGUAAAAUUACUUUAGGGAUAACAGCGUUAUCAUUUUAUAGAGUUCAAAUCGACAAAAUGGAUUGCGACCUCGAUGUUGGAUUAAGAUAGAUAGUGGCGCAGUAGUCAUAAGGUUGGUC
rnacentral:rRNA from 1 species